CGAGCCGCGAGGUGGAGCUAAUCCACAAAACUGAUCGUAGUCCGGAUCGCAGUCGAGUUGCAGACUGCGAUCCGGACUACGAUCAAGCUCUGGGAUUGGCUCCCCUCGCGGGUUACACCUCGUCCCGACCGUAUGACGUGUGAAGCCCUACCCAUAAGGGCCAUGAGGACUUCCACGUCAUCCCCACCUUCCUCCGGUUUGUCAAUGGCAGUCUCAUUAGAGUGCCCUUUCGUAGCAACUAAUGACAUGGGUUGCGCUUCGCCAGGAUCUCUAACCUGACACGAGCUGACGAUGGCCAUGCAGCACCUGUGUUCCGGUUCUCUUGCGAGCACUCCCCAAAUCUCUUUCGGGAUUCCAGACAUGUCAAGGGUAGGUAAGGUUUUUCGCGUUGCAUCGAAUUAAUCCACAUCAUCCACCGCUUGUGUGGGUCCCCGUCAAUUCCUUUGAGUUUUAAUCUUGCGACCGUACUUCCCAGGCGGUCAACUUCACGCGUUAGCUGCGCUACCGUUCGAAGGCCCCAACAGCUAGUUGGUAGGGUAACGGCUCACCGCGCGACGAUCCGUAGCUGGUUUGAGAGGACGACCAGCCACACUGGGACUGGAGACACGGCCCAGACUCCUACGGGAGGCAGCAGUGGGGAAUUUUGGACAAUGGGGGAAACCCUGAUCCAGCCAUCCCGCGUGUGCGAUGAAGGCCUUCGGGUUGUAAAGCACUUUGGCAGGAGGAAUGACACGGGAUAAUACCCCCGUGCACCGACGGUGCCUGCAGAAUAAGCACCGGCUAACUACGUGCCAGCAGCCGCGGUAAUACGUAGGGUGCAAGCGUUAAUCGGAAUUACUGGGCGUGUAAAGCGUGCGCAGGCGGUUCGGAAAGAAAGAUGUGAAAUCCCAGAGCUUAACUUUUGAACUGCAUUUUUAACUACCGAGCUAGAGGUCAGAGGAGGUGGAAUUCGCGUGUAGCAGAAAUGCGUAGAUAUGCGAGGAACACCGAUGGUGAAGGCAGCCUCCUGGGAUAACACUGACGCUCAUGCACGAAAGCGUGGGGAGCAACAGAUUAGAUACCCUGGUAGUCCACGCCCAAACGAUGUCAAUCUUAAUGCGGCAGAAGUUGACCUGGCCUGGGGGAGUAUGGUCGCAAGAUUAAAACUCAAAGGAAUUGACGGGGACCCGCACAAGCGGUGGAUGAUGGGAUUAAUUCGAUGCAACGCGAAAAACCUUACCUACCCUUGGCGGCUCCGGAAUCCCGAAGAGAUUUCCGGGAGUGCUCGCAAGAGAACCGAACACAGGUGCUGCAUGGCUGUCGUCAGCUCGUAAAUGAGAUGCUGGGUUAAGUCCCGCAACGAGCGCAACCCUUGUCAUUAGUUGCUGGCGAAAGGGCACUCUAAUGAGACUGCCGGUGACAAACCGGAGGAAGGUGGGGAUGACGUCAAGUCCUCAUGGCCCUUAUGGGUAGGGCUUCACACGUCAUACAAUGGUCGGGACAGAGGGCUUCAACCCGCGAGGGGGAGCCAAUCCCAGAAACCCGAUCGGUCCGGAUCGCAGUCUGCAACUCGACUGCGUGAAGUCGGAAUCGCUAGUAAUCGCGGAUCAGCAUGUCGCGGUGAAUCACGUUCCCGGGUCUUGUACACACCGCCCGUCACACCAUGGGAGUGGGGUUUUACCAGAAGUAGUUAGCCUAACCGUAAGGAGGGCGAUUACCACGGUAGGAUUCAUGACUGGGGUGAAGUCGUAACAAGGUAG
rnacentral:rRNA from 1 species